rnacentral:rRNA from 1 species
UACGUAGGCAGCGAGCGUUGUUCGGAGUUACUGGGCGUAAAGCGUGCGUAGGCGGUGUCUUAAGUUUGUUGUGAAAUCUCCCGGCUUAACCGGGAGGGUGCGGCGAAUACUGAGAUGCUGGAGUGCCGGAGAGGUAAGCGGAAUUCCCGGUGUAGCGGUGAAAUGCGCAGAUAUCGGGAAGAACACCCGUGGCGAAGGCGGCACUCUGGGACGGUACUGACGCUGAGACGCGAAAGCGUGGGGAGCGAACAGG